rnacentral:rRNA from 1 species
UACGAAGGGGGCUAGCGUUGCUCGGAAUCACUGGGCGUAAAGCGCACGAGGCGGAUUGUUAAGUCAGGGGGUGAAAUCCUGGAGCUCAACUCCAGAACUGCCUUUGAUACUGGCGAUCUUGAGUCCGGGAGAGGUGAGUGGAACUGCGAGUGUAGAGGUGAAAUUCGUAGAUAUUCGCAAGAACACCAGUGGCGAAGGCGGACUCACUG